rnacentral:rRNA from 1 species
UACGAAGGGUGCGAGCGUUAUUCGGAUUUAUUGGGCGUAAAGGGUGCGCAGGCGGCGCGCUAAGUCAACUGUUAAAUUUCUCGGCCUAACCGGGAACCAGCGGUAGAUACUGGCGUGUUAGAGGGUGGAAGAGAGAAGUGGAAUUCUUGGAGUAGCGGUAAAAUGCGUAGAUCUCAAGAGGAACACCGAUGGCGAAGGCAGCUUCUUGGUCCACAUCUGACGCUCAUGCACGAAAGCGUGGGGAGCAAACAGG